rnacentral:rRNA from 1 species
UACGUAGGGUGCAAGCGUUGUCCGGAAUUAUUGGGCGUAAAGAGCGUGUAGGCGGUCCGGUAAGUCAGCUGUGAAAGUCAAGGGCUCAACCCUUGAAUGCCGGUUGGAUACUGUCGGGCUAGAGUCCGGAAGAGGCGAGUGGAAUUCCCGGUGUAGCGGUGAAAUGCGCAGAUAUCGGGAGGAACACCAAUGGCGAAGGCAGCUCGCUGGGACGGUACUGACGCUGAGACG